GUGCUCCUGGUGUAUGACAUCACUAAUUCUCAGAGUUUUGAGAAUCUUGAAGAUUGGCUGAACAUGGUGAGAAAAGCCAAUGAAGAGUCCGACACACAGCUGGCAAUAUCACUCAUCGGAAACAAGAUUGAUCUGGAGCACAUGCGGACAGUGAAGAUGGAGAAACAUCAGCGAUUCUGUCAGGAAAACGGACUCAUCAGUCAGUUUGUGUCUGCGAAAACAGGAGACUCUGUGUUUCUCUGUUUCCAGAGGCUGGCGGCUGAGAUUUUAGGCAUAAAGCUGAAUAAAGCUGAGAUGGAGCAGUCACAGCAUAUUGUCAAAGCGGAGUUGGUGGACUAUCCUCAGGAUGAGGGACCAAUCGGACAAGAGACCAAUCAGAGCAAGAUCUGCUCUAUCCAAUAACACACGUGGUUAAAGCAGACAUAGUGAACUACAGUCAGGAGUCGGUGGCUCGAGCCGUCAACCCUCCACGCAGCUCCAUGUGUAACAUACAGUGAUCAUCGUCUCUGUCUCGCUCGC